UGCAGUCGAGCGGUAGAGAGGUGCUUGCAUCUCUUGAGAGCGGCGGACGGGUGAGCAAUGCCUAGGAAUCUGCCUGGUAGUGGGGGAUAACGUCCGGAAACGGACGCUAAUACCGCAUACGUCCUACGGGAGAAAGCAGGGGACCUUCGGGCCUUGCGCUAUCAGAUGAGCCUAGGUCGGAUUAGCUAGUUGGUGAGGUAAAGGCUCACCAAGGCGACGAUCCGUAACUGGUCUGAGAGGAUGAUCAGGCACACUGGAACUGAGACACGGUCCAGACUCCUACGGGAGGCAGCAGUGGGGAAUAUUGGACAAUGGGCGAAAGCCUGAUCCAGCCAUGCCGCGUGUGUGAAGAAGGUCUUCGGAUUGUAAAGCACUUUAAGUUGGGAGGAAGGGUACUUACCUAAUACGUGAGUAUUUUGACGUUACCGACAGAAUAAGCACCGGCUAACUCUGUGCCAGCAGCCGCGGUAAUACAGAGGGUGCAAGCGU
rnacentral:rRNA from 1 species